UCCUCGUUCCUUAAGUGCCUCAACCAUCACGCUUCCUUCAGCCCCUCUGAGCCCCCUCCCUGCCCUGACCUGGCAGGCACUGGCUGAAGGUGGGGCUGGAGCCCAGGAAGGUAGCGGCCCUAGUCAGGAGUCCUGGAGUCACGAUGACACCGACAGCACCGUCACCAAGGACACUUUCCCGUCCUCUCUGCACCCACUUGAGAGGACAGCCAGGGUGGAAGAGAUAACUCUCAUCAUUUUUGGCGUUGGGGAGAUUGUCUCUCCUCCCCCCAGGGUUGCUCUGAGGGUUCAGUGGACUGAUGCAUGCAGAGCCCUCAGCACAGUGCCUGGUACACAGCAAGUGCUCACUCAGCACUUUCCGCUGGUGUUACUAAGCAGCAGAUGCCCAAGGCCACCUCCAGAGAGGACGCAGGACAACAGGAGGGCAGCGCAUCCACAGAGGCUCCCCAGGCUAUCAUGAGGGAGGAGAAACUCCCAAGUGUCUGAGGGGAUCAGCUCAGCACAGUGACUGCGGCUGUGGAGCCAGGCCUCCUCGCAGGGGCAGGGUCUGUCCGGACCACGCAAGCAGCAUCCCUCACCAGUGCACCAUGGGCCCAGAUUGGAAAAAAAAAAAAAAAUUACAAAAGCAAGGAAGCAAUUUUGUGAAAAAUGACAAUUCAGACCCCUGGAAGCCUAAGAAAAGCAAAGCACAGAGAGCCUCUGAAGUUUGGAGGAACUGCCUUCCCUUAUAACAGAGAGUCCUAAAGAGUUGAAGGAAUGGCAAGCUUGAAAUAAACACCCAACCUGCUAAGGAUGAGCAGUCAAGCAGAUCCACUAGAGACACAAAGGAAACAAGCUUAACAACUACACAUGUAUCGACGACGGGGCUUUUAUCUUCUCGGGAUCGCUCCAGAAUGUCUCAGAACCUCGACAGCGAGAGGCUGACAGCAUACUUGCUCCGAGAGAUGAAGGCUCUGGGUGCAACCUGGAUGGUAAGCAAGAGGGCGUGAACUGGGUUCCCCACAUUCUUGGCACUUUGGGAAGUUGUUUUGAGAGGAAAGCAAUACAGCGUGGAAGGCCACCAGUGGGCCCAAGAAAUCGGUUGAGCCAUUUUUAGAUCCCUGCCCAAAUCCUUCGUUCUGUACCGGUUGCUGCCCCGUGAUAGCAAAAGCACCUUCCGUUCCUAGCUUCCUCCCCACAGGCUCAGACAGUGCUCUUCCCAGUGGCUGUCAGACACAGACAGGGCAGGUUCCGACACUAUGAAGAGGAGUAAGGGGCCAGUGCCCUGGCAGCGUGAUGGGGUGCAGGAGGGGUGCCCUUCUGAGUCAGAUCUCACUUCAACCAUCCGCGUGACCUUUGCCACGAAGGCUGCAUUCCCUCAGCUGUUCAGUGGGGGUUACAGAUCCUGCCUCUUUCACAUGCCCUAGUGUCUAGUCUGCUCCAGCUUGCCUGUUUGUGUCCACUCAACGUUUACUCCUAUUUGAGCAGAUGAUAGCUCAGGAAGAUGCCCAGACUUGACCUUGAAGGACUGAGCAAGGUGCGAUGUACAAAUGCAAAAGAUGCUUUCUGCUCCAUCCACUGUCCUCUCAGCCCUCUCCCUCUGACGCCCAGUGGCCCAGUUUUUCUGUCUUCUUUCUGGUGACAACGAUUUGAAUAAGUCGAUUUGAAUAAGUCGCCCCAGGCCUUUCCUGCUGGAUUCACAAAAUACAGGGUGAGCCUGCUUUCCCAGGCCAUCAGUAGCCUGAAGCUGCAAACCGGCUAAUCUGUGUAAUCACAGCAGGAAGCUCUCAGGGAGACUGAAGGCUGCAGGGACUCAGCCAGAUGAUGAAAGACAGAAAUGGGAGUGCUCAAGACUGCUGUGGGACAUGGCCUGUUCACAAAGGCUUCA